UACGUAGGGUGCGAGCGUUGUCCGGAAUUAUUGGGCGUAAAGAGCUUGUAGGCGGUUUGUCACGUCGGGAGUGAAAACUCAGUGCUUAACACUGAGCCUGCUUCCGAUACGGGCUGACUUGAGGAAGGUAGGGGAGAUCGGAAUUCCUGGUGGAGCGGUGGAAUGCGCAGAUAUCAGGAGGAACACCAGUGGCGAAGGCGGAUCUCUGGACCUUUCCUGACGCUGAGAAGCGAAAGCGUGGGGAGCAAACAGGCUUAGAUACCCGGGUAGU
rnacentral:rRNA from 1 species